AAGUUUGAGCAAAAGGUAUAAAACUGUGAUCUCUCUACUCUUAGCCUAGCGACAAAAUCAAAGAGAGCGAGAGCUCGGAGAAGCCAUAGCUCGGUAAAACGACCACAGUUCCCAACAAAUGUGGAGCCUAAGGAAUAAGGAAUCAUGUCUAAACAAAAUUCAAAACAAAGCAUGGCAUCCAAAAGAGGAUCCGAACAUGAGCAGUGACAACUCAAAAAUCAAUGCUCAAUAAUCACCACCAUGACCCAUAACAAAGGUUCCUCGACGAAACCAUCCAAAAAACAGAGCAGUGACCCAUACCAGACAAGGAAGCCACCAGCAACAAGACUGCAUGUCCAAGGAUGUAGGAGAUGGUUGGAAUCUCAAAGCAUCAGACAGCACACAGAAUCCCCCGAAGCCAUUCAAGUCCUGGCCAAACCAACCAACGUCCCCGAUGAAGCAUGGUGGUAUACAUGUUGGUGUUUCCUUAUUUGUUAAGUCAAAGAAAUUUAUUAAGCAACUAUGUUGUGGAAAUUGCCCAAGAAUCAACAAAGAUAAAAUUCAGAGAAAAUAAACAAACAGAAAAACACAAGAAUUUACGUGGUUUGGCCUCUUGCUUACGUCCACGGAGUGAAACUGUUCUUCUAUUAUUGAGAAUUUAAAAUACAAUAAAUUGACUUUUAUGGUUCCCCAAAACAACCUAAGAUCCCUUGCACACUCUUCCUCAAUAACCUCUCAAGAACAUUCACUCAAACCACUCUAGCUCCACUUAGAGCAAAAGAUAGAGUUACAAGAUGUUCCAUCUCUAGAGCUCUCAAAGCAUUACUUACAAUUCUAAAGCCUAGAAAUCCACUUUUAUAGUAUAAAAGUCCAAAGUAGAAUGUGAUUAGGAUUCGAUGUGGAAUAAGAAGUUUAAAAUCCCAUACAACUACUUAAUGUUGUAUACAAACAAAAAUCCUAAUCAAAUAAAAUCUAGAAUUCUAGUCAACCUAAAACUAAACAAAUCUCCACCUUUGACUUGAAUUCAAACUCUUUAAACCUCUUCCACUAGUCGCACCUUAAUUGUAACUUCCUAACUCCACCUACUUUUCAACACCUUGAACAACUCUCCAAGCAUAAGAUUUUCUAAAUCAUUGACCUUUAUAAUUACCACGACUACACAUACCAAAUCAAGUAUGGUCCAACACUUGAUUCCACAAAACGGCUAAUGCACCUGUGUAGCCGUCAAGUUAAUGGCACUAAUUGACUUCGGAAAGGGACCUCGACAACCCUUCCAAUUCACUACUGGCAAGAUUUUUCGUCCUUUCAUCAUCGUCUACACCAUGGGAACCUUUCAUCACCUCCUCGGCAAAUGAAAUCUCACUUUGGUAGCUACCAUCCCCUGUGCAUUGUUCCCAUCCUUUCGAGGCCUCAAAUUCUAGAUGAUACAAGCCAUUAUGCAAAUUCCCCCUCAUCAAGACCGUGUCGCCUUGUGUGACUUUUACGACUCCAUCACAAGUAGAAUAUCCAUACCCUUUGGAGUCUAACAGACUCAAUGAUAUUAGAUUCUUACGCAUCUUUGGGACAUAGGCUACACCACCCAAAGAGCGCACAACCCCAUUAAACAUUUUGAUUUUCACCACUCCAAUACCCAUGACCUUCACUAUUGACUUAUUACCCAAAGUCAAAUUCUCAGCCACCCCUUCUUGAAGUAAAUCAAAAAAAUCCUUUUGAUAACAUAUGUGAGUAGCAGAAGCAGAAUCUAAAUACUAAUUAGAAUUUGCAUCCAUAUUUUUUGAAAUUGUAAGAACAUCACAAUCAUCACCUUCAGUAACGAAAGCAAACUCACCUUUGUUCUCGUUACUUUCAUCCCCUUUUAUAGGACAAUCCCUUUUAAUAUGCCCAUACCCUUUUCAUUUAAAGCAUUGAACAUUGUUGGAUCUAGACUUGCCACCCUUAGAUCCUUUACUAGUUGACUUUCUCCUAUUAGCCUCAAUUACUAAUACCAAGCCAUUUGGAUCUCUAUCCCAUUCUUUACUUUUCUUUCGGGCUUCACAAGACAUUAACGUUACUUGUGCUUGUUUUAACAUUAUUGUAUCCAUCCCAUAAAUUAGAGAUUCCACAAAUACCUUAUAGGAGUUUGGAAGCGAAGCCAAGAACAAUAGUAUAUUUUCCUCUUCCUCCACCUUGACGUCAACCUUCUUCAACUGAUCAAAGAUUCCAUCGAAUUCAUUCAUAUGCUUCAUAAGGUCUCCAUUCUGCUUCAUCUUUAAGUGAUACAACUUUCGCCUAAGCUGCAACUUGUUAGAAAGACUUUUCGUCAAGUAAAUUUUCUCUUUAACUUUGCCCAUAAUCUUAGAGCAGAAUCCUCAUCAAUAACAUGAUUAAACACAUUAUCUCCAAUGCAAAGCCGAAUAGUGCUCACACACCUUUGCUCCAACUCUGCCCAUUCAACAUCCUUCAUGUCAUCUGGUUGCCCUUCCUCAUUUCCUAGCAAGGGGCGCAUUAAACCUUGCUGUACAAGGAGAUCUUUCAUCAUUCUCUGCCACUGCGUGAAACUAGUCUUCCCAUCAAACUUCUUAAUUGAAAAAUUCACAGAACUAGUAACUUUCGACAUCCUUGUUGAAUCUUGAAUUUACCGAACCUGAAGCUCUGAUACCAGUUUGUUGUGAAAAUUGUCCAAGAAUCAACAAAGAUAAAAUUCAGAGAAAAUAAGCAAACAGAAAAACACAAGAAUUUACGUGGUUUGGCCUCUUGCCUACGUCCACGGAGUGAAACUGUUCUUCUAUUAUUGAGAAUUUAAAGUACAAUAAAUUGACAUUUAUGGUUUCCCAAAAUAACCUAAGAUCCCUUGCAUACUCUUCGUCAAUAACCUCCCAAGAACAUUCACUCAAACCACUCUAGCUCCACCUAGAGCAAAAGAUAGAGUUACAAGAUGUUCCUUUUCUAGAGCUCUCAAAGCACUACUUACAAUUCUAAAGCCUAGAAAUCUACUUUUAUAGUAUAAAAGUCCAAAGUAGAAUGUGAUUAGUAUUCGAUGUGGAAUAAGAAGUUUAAAACCAUACAACUAUUUAAUAUUGUAUACAAACAAAAAUCCUAAUCAAAUAAGAUCUAGAAUUCUAGUCAACUUAAAACUCAACAAACUAAGAUGUUACAAAAUUAGUAAACAAUUAACAAAGCAAAAACAAAAUUCUAUGCAAAUUCAAACUCGAAAUCUACUUGAAAUUACCUAAACCCGAAGUGACAUAACUUGCCCAAUCGCCAUGAAGCUUUGAAAUAAAUCUAAUUCCAUCUCUACAAUUCCUUGAAGUUUUGAAAUAGUGAAUUUCUUUGAAGAGUUGUAUAUGAAUGCGUGGAUUCAGCCUCAUAAACUUUUGAGCUGAAAAUAGAGGUUGGAGCUUGGUUUAUUUCUGUUUCUUUGCCAUGAAGAGUCUUCAAAUUUAAUGGAAGAAGACUCCUUUUGGCAUAGCAGCUAGCUUUGGGCAGAGCCUGAACUGUACAAUUACAGAAGAAUCAAGCUGCUCAAAGAGCAAUUAGCAGCAUCCUCAGAAAAGAUAGCCCGCAAAACAAAAAUUGAGUUCAAGCUAAUUUAAUAAAUGAAAAAAGAAGAACAAAAUCUGACAGCGACGAGGACCAAAAUGGUUUUCCUAAAUAGAGAGGUGAACUAUUCCAGUCGUAGAAACUGACAAAGCAGGGCCUCAAAACCAGAAAGAAUCUCGCCCUGAAGCCUCCUAAAAGCAGUCAUCUCUCUUGAGCUUUCCUAAUAGCCAUCAAAACAAAGGUCCCCCUGCAAGCUUAAUCACCCGCCUCCUAUCCAUGAUCUGCACUCAUCUCUAUCAAGCUUACCCAACAAGACAUCACAUCUUCUUUGCCAUCCCCAUGCUACCAGGAAAAGGCAUCCGACAGCAAAACCGGAUCAUCCUCAUGAAGCACGACAUCACACAUCCCUCACCCAGCAUUUUGCCUCUGAGCAGGAAGAAGAGGCAUCGCGACAAAUCAAGAAGCCAUCAUUUCAGCCAAUCCAAAAUUCACAGAAAGAAAUCAAAAUUCCAGCUUGAAAGUGGAUCAGAAAAAGAAGAACUUGCUAUACCAACAGGACAUCGCAGUCGAAAGGGACGUCACGCUCCGGCAAACCAACGCUCCUCAAAUUCAAAACAAGCAAGAACAGUAGACCUACAAUGUAUCCAAACAGAAAUCAAGCACAUGAUUCCAGCACCCGAAAAUGG
rnacentral:lncRNA from 1 species